rnacentral:rRNA from 1 species
UGGUAAUGCCGGAUGCUCCGACUCCUCGCAUGGGGUGUCGGGAAAGAUUUCAUCGGUAUGGGAUGGGGUCGCGUCCUAUCAGGUAGUCGGCGGGGUAACGGCCCACCGAGCCUACGACGGGUAGCCGGCCUGAGAGGGCGACCGGCCACAUUGGGACUGAGAUACGGCCCAGACUCCUACGGGAGGCAGCAGUGGGGAAUAUUGCACAAUGGGCGCAAGCCUGAUGCAGCGACGCCGCGUGCGGGAUGACGGCCUUCGGGUUGUAAACCGCUUUUGAUCGGGAGCAAGCCUUCGGGUGAGUGUACCUUUCGAAUAAGCACCGGCUAACUACGUGCCAGCAGCCGCGGUAAUACGUAGGGUGCAAGCGUUAUCCGGAAUUAUUGGGCGUAAAGGGCUCGUAGGCGGUUCGUCGCGUCCGGUGUGAAAGUCCAUCGCUUAACGGUGGAUCUGCGCCGGGUACGGGCGGGCUGGAGUGCGGUAGGGGAGACUGGAAUUCCCGGUGUAACGGUGGAAUGUGUAGAUAUCGGGAAAGAACACCACC